rnacentral:rRNA from 1 species
GACGAACGCUGGCGGCGUGCUUAACACAUACAAGUCGAACGGAAAGGCCUGCUUUCCCUUGUGGAUUGCGGGUACUCGAGUGGCGAACGGGUGAGUAACACGUGAGUGAUCUGCCCCCAACUUGGGUAUAAGCCUGGGAAACUGGGUCUAAUUCCCGAUAGGACUGCAGGGUGGUGCCUGUGGUGGAAAACGAUUUUCUAGUGGUUGGGGAUGAGCUCGCGGCCUAUCAGCUUGUUGGUGGGGUAAUGGCCUACCAAGGCGGCGACGGGUAGCCGGCCUGAGAGGGUGGACGGCCACAUUGGGACUGAGAUACGGCCCAGACUCCUACGGGAGGCAGCAGUGGGGAAUAUUGCACAAUGGGCGGAAGCCUGAUGCAGCGACGCAGCGUGGGGGAUGACGGCCUUCGGGUUGUAAACUCCUUGCGACCGCGAGGAAGCCACCUGGUUGGAAGGGUGGUGACGGUAGUGGUAGAAGAAGCACCGGCUAACUACGUG